ACAGUUGUCCUAUUUACCUGCUGCUGGUGGCCACCCAUUCCCCUCAAAGACUAUUUUUCCUGCCUCCUCCCUUUCUCUUUAUUACAAAUAACGAACGGAAUAAUUCUGAAUUGAAGCGCAAUAAAAAAAUCGCGUUGUUGCGUUUCUUUUGAUCUGCGUUAAAAGGAAUUGACAUCAAAAUAGAUUCCGUCGGGCCGGAAUUGAACCAGCGACCUAUGGAUAACUUGUUUUUUCACGAAUGAAACGAAUCUACAGUCCACCGCUCUGCCAACUGAGCUACCGACGGGAUACACGGACGUUAAUAUUAUCAAUGUAAUUAGUUGCACAUUUUACCGUUUGACCAGACAACGUGUGUUAUCUUCUUCUGGCGACGAAACGUUUAUUCCAACUGAGCUAUCUGAAACAAAAUAACAUUUUAAAAUUUAUUAGGCAACAUAAAGUUUUUUUUUUCUACUUUUUUAGUUUUUCUUGAUGCGAUAACUUUUUUUAAAAGCAAUUCUUAUGGAGCCCAUGCGAAAGGAAGCGAAAGUCCAGUGUCAGUGUCGCGGUGUGUUCCCUCAUCAAGUCAUCGGAAUUUUUCUUCCACUGGACAGUGUAGAGCUGGUUCCCUACCCAUUCAAUUUCCGUGUUAUUCCAGCAGCAAAGACAAAUCUUCCCAUCAUCAAGUCAACCAAGUUCAAGCUAAUCACCGUCUCAUCAAAUGGUCGUUGCCUCCGCCGUCCACGCCGCCAGUUCCUCUUCCGGGAAGGAAUGCGAUGCCCUAUGGAUUGGAGACAUUUUGACAGAGCGCAUUUUGCUGGUUCUUUCACCCGUUUGUAGCCGCACACGGACAUCUGUGGACAUUGGAACCCACAGAACUUCCUCCGCUAUCCGUCGAGUGGCCGUGGCAUUCAACUUCCUUCUCUGCCAAAGUUCGGUUCCAGUGCAAGUGCACUAGAGGAUGGACGUCGAUGAAGGGGUAGGUCUCAUUUUGGUUCCGAUCCGUCGCCAAGGCGACCAGGUCCUGUGUGAAGCGUUGUUCAAAUUAUUGGUCAAAAAUGUAGCAUCUGCAACCAGCCAGACUCGUUCGAUGAGUCUGAAUUUCUGACUCCACUUUGGUACCCUGAAGAAAUAGAAAAUGCCAUUAGGUUUCUGGCUAGCCACGUUUCCACGUCCUAUUACGGUGAGCAAAGAAAUGCACAAGAUAUCUACAAUAUUGUUCGUAUUCGACACAGUCAACCCAGAGAAAAAUCUCUGGCGGUUCAUCACGAUCCCAUUCGCUGCCAAGCUUGUCUCUAUGGAUUGUGUGCAUCUUUCCCACCAUUUAAUGUUUGACUUGAAAUAUUGACUGAUGACUGUAUUGUACAGAACUACAGACGUGAAUUUCAGUCUUUGCUUGCCUUUUAAAAAAAUAUACAA